GACGAACCGUGCAAACGUUGUUCGGAAUCACUGGGCUUAAAGGGCGCGUAGGCGGGCUCCCAAGUCUGUGGUGAAAUCCUCCAGCUCAACUGGAGAACUGCCGCGGAUACUGGGGGUCUCGAGGGAGGUAGGGGCGUGCGGAACACUAGGUGGAGCGGUGAAAUGCGUUGAUAUCUAGUGGAACUCCGGUGGCGAAGGCGGCACGCUGGACCUCUUCUGACGCUGAGGCGCGAAAGCCAGGGGAGCGAACGGG
rnacentral:rRNA from 1 species